CAACAUAUAUAAGAAAUUUUACAGGGUUGCUAAUAACUCAGAUAGGCCACCAUUAGUGUGUUCAUAAUUAAGAAAGAUGGGAAUAAAGUUACGGGUAAUGUUAGUGAUGAUGAUGCUUUCACUACUAAAUGGAUGGUAUUGUUUAGGGUGUUGGGAGGAAUAGAGGAUUGCUCUUUUGCACCUCAAAGAAAAUAUAAACUUUCCAGAUGAAAAAUUGCUACCUUCAUGGGUGGUUAAUGAGAUUGGAACUGAUUGUUGUCAAUGGCAAGGGGUUGAAUGUAGCAACACAAUUAAACGAGUAAUCCAAAUUAAUCUUGAUGGCGCUAGGGAUCGGAAAUUUGAAGAUUGGUAUUUUAAUGCCUCUCUAUUUCUUCCCUUACAAGAGCUCAGAAAUCUCUCUUUGUGGAGUAAUAAAUUGGUUGGUUGGAUUGAGAAUGAAGGUUUUGAUAGAUUGUCGAUGUCGAGAAAUUUGGAGGCCCUUUAUUUGGAUGGCAAUUCAUUUGAUCGCAAAAUUUUGUCAUCUCUUAGUCAACUUUCUUCACUCAAGCUCUGAAAAAAAAAUUACAGCAAUAGUCGUGAAAGACUCUUCGGAUUAACCGAGCUGGAAGUUCUUGAUUUUGCAUAUAAUGAUGGGAUAAUCGAUGAUGAUAUACUAUCAGUGCUUAAUUUGAAUGAUUUUAUCAAUUUGAAGGAGCUCGACCUACUUCAAAAUAAAUUUAGAAGCUUGGGUACCAUUUACAGUAUAUCAUCUCAUUUCGUUCUUUAUCCUCAUUCAUUUUUAGUUUCCUUUUCUUUCGUUAAUUCACUUGUGCCUUAUUAUGUAUGAACAAAAGCAUUCAUAUUAUUUUGCUCCCAUGCCCUCCCUUUCACUAAAUAGUAGUUUGUUGUUUAUUAGAUAUUAUAUUGUAACUUAUUGUGGAUUUGGCUAUACAUACAUGUCUAAAAUAUUUGAAGGUCCUUAAUUUACAAUUAAACCACUUCAAUAAUAGCAUUUUCUCCUCACUUCACGGGCUGUCAUCACGAAAGUUUCUAGAUCUCUCUUACAAUGAACUAAAAGGAACCAUCCAAUUUAAAGAUUUACGUGCUUUGAGUAAUUUGGAGGAGCUUUAUCUAAGUGGUAAUGAGGUUGACAACUUCACAACUCUAACAGGCAUCAAAAGUAUGCAUUGUCUCCAAGUGCUAAAAGUAAAUGACAUUAGGGUCUCCAACAUUAGCCACAUGGUGCAAUCUUUGAGGGCAUUUUCUUACCUCAAGUACUUUUAUUUUCAGUACAAUUAUGUAAGCGGAAGUAUUGGAUCUUAUGAGUUGAGACAUUUAAGACAGCUGGAGGGAUUGUUCUUGGAUAAUUCUACUAUGGAUUGGAACUUUCUACAAAGUAUUGGAGCACACUAACUUUCCUCAAGAUUUUAUCUUUGUCUAGAUGCGGACUCAAUGGCACCCUUCCCGUUCAAGGGUUGUGCAAACUUAAAAACCUCCAAGAGUUAGAUCUUAGUUGGAAUGAGUACGAAGGAACACUUCCUUCAUGUGUUGCAAAUAUGACAUCUCUUAGAUUGGUUGCCCUCUCACACAAUACAUUCACCGGAAAUAUCGCCUCCUCUCCACUUUUGAAACUCACAUCGCUUGAAUAUCUCUCCCUUUCAAGUAACAACUUUCAAAUUCCAAUUUCUUUCAAGGCAUUCUUUAAUCAUUCAAACUUUUAAGUUUUUAUUUUUGGAAAACAAUGAAAUAAUAAAUGACAAAGAGUUGGGAAAUUGGGUUC